CCUACGGGAGGCAGCAGUCGAGAAUCAUUCACAAUGGGGGAAACCCUGAUGGGGCGACGCCGCGUGGGGGAAUGAAGGUCUGCGGAUUGUAAACUCCUGUCAUGUGGGAGCAAAUUAAAAAGAUAGUACCACAAGAGGAAGAGACGGCUAACUCUGUGCCAGCAGCCGCGGUAAUACAGAGGUCUCAAGCGUUGUUCGGAAUCACUGGGCGUAAAGCGUGCGUAGGCUGUUUCGUAAGUCGUGUGUGAAAGGCGCGGGCUCAACCCGCGGACGGCACAUGAUACUGCGAGACUAGAGUAAUGGAGGGGGAACCGGAAUUCUCGGUGUAGCGGUGAAAUGCGUAGAUAUCGGGAGGAACACUCGUGGCGAAGGCGGGUUCCUGGACAUUAACUGACGCUGAGGCACGAAGGCCAGGGGAGCGAAAAGGAUUAGAUACCCGGGUAGUC
rnacentral:rRNA from 1 species